rnacentral:rRNA from 1 species
GGGGAAUUUUCCGCAAUGGGCGAAAGCCUGACGGAGCAAUCUCGCGUGAGGGAUGACUGCCUAUGGGUUGUAAACCUCUUUUUUCAGGGAGGAAUAAAUGACGUGUACCUGAAGAAUAAGCAUCGGCUAACUCCGUGCCAGCAGCCGCGGUAAGACGGAGGAUGCAAGUGUUAUCCGGAAUCACUGGGCGUAAAGCGUCUGUAGGUGGUUUAAUAAGUCAACUGUUAAAUCUUGAAGCUCAACUUCAAAAUCGCAGUCGAAACUAUUAGACUUGAGUAUAGUAGGGGUAAAGGGAAUUUCCAGUGGAGCGGUGAAAUGCGUAGAGAUUGGAAAGAACACCGAUGGCGAAGGCACUUUACUGGGCUAUUACUGACACUCAGAGACGAAAGCUAGGGUAGCAAAAGGGAUUAGAUACCCCUGUAGUC